GAUACGACCGUACCGCAAACCGACACUGGUGCGCGAGAUGAGUAUUCUAAGGCGCUUGAGAGAACUGAGGAGAAGGAACUCGGCAAAUUGACACCGUAACUUCGGAAGAAGGUGUGCCCUAUUAGUGUGUAGUGAACAACGAAGCAUGAAUGGGUUGCAAAAAAUCGGUGGCUGCGACUGUUUAUUAAAAACACAGCACUCUGCAAACACGAAAGUGGACGUAUAGGGUGUGACGCCUGCCCGGUGCUGGAAGAUUAAAUGAUGGGGUGCAAGCUCUUGAUUGAAGUCCCAGUAAACGGCGGCCGUAACGAUAACGGUCCUAAGGUAGCGAAAUUCCUUGUCGGGUAAGUUCCGACCUGCACGAAUGGCGUAACGAUGGCCACACUGUCUCCUCCUGAGACUCAGCGAAGUUGAAAUGUUUGUGAUGAUGCAAUCUCCCCGCGGAAAGACGGAAAGACCCCAUGAACCUUUACUGUAGCUUUGUAUUGGACUUUGAACAGAUCUGUGUAGGAUAGGUGGGAGGCUUUGAAGCAGGGUCGCUAGAUCUUGUGGAGCCAACGUUGAAAUACCACCCUGGUGUGUUUGAGGUUCUAACCUAGGUCCAUUAUCUGGAUCGGGGACAGUGCAUGGUAGGCAGUUUGACUGGGGCGGUCUCCUCCCAAAGCGUAACGGAGGAGUUCGAAGGUACGCUAGUUACGGUCGGACAUCGUGACGAUAGUGCAAUGGCAUAAGCGUGCUUAACUGCGAGACUGACAAGUCGAGCAGAUGCGAAAGCAGGACAUAGUGAUCCGGUGGUUCUGUAUGGAAGGGCCAUCGCUCAACGGAUAAAAGGUACUCUGGGGAUAACAGGCUGAUACCGCCCAAGAGUUCAUAUCGACGGCGGUGUUUGGCACCUCGAUGUCGGCUCAUCUCAUCCUGGGGCUGUAGCCGGUCCCAAGGGUAUGGCUGUUCGCCAUUUAAAGAGGUACGUGAGCUGGGUUUAAAACGUCGUGAGACAGUUUGGUCCCUAUCUUCCGUGGGCGCUGCAGAUUUGAGGAAGCCUGCUCCUAGUACGAGAGGACCGGAGUGGACACACCUCUGGUGUAUCGGUUGUCACGCCAGUGGCAUUGCCGAGUAGCUAAGUGUGGAAGAGAUAACCGCUGAAAGCAUCUAAGCGGGAAACUCGUUUCAAGAUGAGAUCUGCCGGGGCCUUGAGCCCCCUAAAGAGUCGUUCAAGACCAGGACGUUGAUAGGUCAGGUGUGGAAGUG
rnacentral:rRNA from 1 species